AGUGAGAGGUGUCCCUGCCCAUGGCAAAGGGGUUGGAACUAGAUGUUCCAUGAUAAAAGUUCAUGAUAAUGAUGCAAGUCUGAGGCUAAACUAGGCCUCAGUCAAUCAAUAGGUCAGGGUUAAGAUGAAGUCCAGUGAUUGACAGGCUUGUUCAUAGUGAUAAGACAGGGCUAAGGUCAAGCCAGGAAGUCAGUCCACAGGUUGAGGUCAAGAGGCUUCAUUUCCUGCUCAUUGGAAAGGACCACUCUUGAGCUUGGAGAAGGUGAUAUCUGAAUAUUGAACCAGUUUUACUGGACCACUCCUCAGUAUCCUCUCAGGAUCCUGGAGUCCUCCAUCUCAUGAUCAUUACAGACUUUGAUAUUCAAAUCCCCUUCCUUGUUGAUUAGUAUGAGGCUCAGUAGAGCACAUCUCCUUAUUGGUUCCUCUAUCAUUUGGGCAGAGCUCCAUGCACUCCAGCUGCUCUCUCACCCAGGCAACUCCUGGUCUUCCUGUCCUGUCCUUCCUAAAGAGCCUGUACCCUUCCAUUACAACAGUCCAGUCAUAUGAGCUAUCCCACCAGCUCUCUGUGAACCUUGUGUAAUUGUAGACUUACAACUGCACACACACCUCUAAUUCCUUGUGUUUACUUUCUAUACAGCAUGCAUUAGUGUGCAGGCACUUCAGAAAGGCACAUUGGUGUGUUGAUUUGCCAGAACAGGUGUGUGUUUUUUGUCUGUUUGUUUGUUUGCAUGUUUGUUUUCUCAUAAUGGUGCCUUGUAGCCACUUCCUUGCUUAUAUGCAGAUACUUGAGGUGACCCCACCUAAGCCUUGAUUUGUUGAUUUUGUAUUCCUUUAUAUUCACAUCACCCUGUGCCCUUUGAUCAUCAGCCCUGUCCACCGUUUCCUCAUAGGGCUGCUGGUGACUCUCUCCCUCCACUAUCAUUCCUAGUUUAAAGCAUUUAUUACCAGGUCAGUCAUCCUACUGGUAAAGAUACCUUUGUUCCACUUAGUCAGGUGGAUUCCAUCUUUCCUAAGGAGACACUGAUUCCCUGGCAGGGUCCAGUGGUCACAGAAAUCAAAAUGUUGUUGCUGACACCAGCUCCCCAAACAACUGUUGACACACAGUGUCAGUGCCUUCUUCCUUACAUUAUUUUUCCCCUCAAGAGCAGGUUUGAGGAGAACAAUGCCUGCCCCCCCAUGCCCUUGACUAGUGCCCCUUACACUCUGUAGUCACUUUUAGUACUGUCCACGUUGCCCUGACAAUAUCACUGGUGCCCACAUGGAAGAAUAGCAGGGUGUAAUAGCCACAGGGUUGGACAAAUUAUCGCAACAGCGUUCCAGAUCCAGGCUCCAAGCAAUCAGUAAACUUCUCUAGGUGACAGGCCAGAUCAGGAGAUUGGUAUCUGUCCAUUGCAGAAAGGAGUUGCCCACUGCUAUUACUUGCCACUUCUUCCUGGUGGUUCAGAGUGAGCUGGUCCAGCUGCUUUACUUGAAAGCACAACCAGCUCCUCCUCAGUUUUGAGGGCAGUGAACCUAUUUUGCAGCUGUAAGCCUUUAGGUGGAGCAAGAGCCUUCCUCUUGGUGCCAGAGGUCACCAGCUUUCUUUGUCUUCUCCAGAGGUUUCAGUUACCAUUCUAUUAGGGACAGAUUCUGCCUACAUCCCCACUGAGAUCCAGAGCUCUUCAAGCUGUUGCAUCUCUGAGAAUAUAAUGUCUCUCUCUCUUGUCCUCUUUCAUCUUCCUUCAAUAGAAUGUUCUAAUAAAAGAAAAAUAGGUCUGAAAGAUCCACAAAGAUCAGAGAACUGUUUCUGAAAGCCUUGCAAUAUAGAAAAGAAUGUGUAAGUGUCCGAGAGGAUACAGAGUAGCCUAAGAGAGGACAAGGUAGUAGAAAGAUUUAGACAUUUGUAAAACACCUACAAAUGAAAACUGAUGAAACACUAGGACAGAUGAAGAUCACAGAAUAGUCCUCCAAAUGUCUACUGCAAAGUAGAAGAUGGUGUGAAAGAUCCUCGGACAAAACAGUGGAACCAAGCAGAAGCCAACAAAGGAACAGAGAGUGUGAAAGAAAUUCAGAGAAAAUAAAGUAGCCUAAAGGAAGGGAAGAAAGGCUGCCAGUGCUGGAGGGAAUAAAUUGUUGCAGUGUCAGAGAGGCCAUGAAAGAAAAUAACAAGCCAAAGGACACCUCUCCUCACCUCCCAUCCCCAAGAAUAAAGAGCCUCAGAGAUAGUAAAGUAUUAGAGAGAUUAAAGGACCCUCAAAGCACCCUGCAGUGCCAAAGGUGACCUCAGAGAAGACACACACACAAAAAUGUAAAAAGGCAGAAAGUUUGAUAGUGCCCCAAAAGAGUAGCAUCAAAGAAGAAUAAAAUGAGUCAAGUUCUGUAAAAGUCUCAGAGAGUACAGAGUAGCCUCAAAGAAGCAGAAAAAAAAUAGUUGAACACUUGAAAGAACUAUGGGGAAUAUACCACAGACCUCAUAUAUAACAAGAAAGCAGCAGAGAUUAUGAAAGUGCACUUGGGGAACACAUAGUACCCCUGCAGCUGCUAAGAAAGAACAGAGGCUAAAAGAGUGACAGAGAAUAAUAGCUUUGGAGUAGAGAAGAAAGAAGCUGGCUUUCUUCCUGGAGAAGAGUAGUUGCUGAGAUUCCAAGAACCUUGAAAACAGCCUGAAGCAGACCCAGAAAACCCAGAUUAACCUCAGGGAAUUGAAAGGAAAAAAAAAAAAAAAAAAAAAAAAAACUGCAGUAAGCUUGAAAGUGCUCCAGUCAUCUUACAGAGAGGAAGGAAGAGACCAAAAGCCUGAAAAGGAGCCAUAGCAAGUUUGAAAAGCCAGAGAAGAAAUGGAAAGGUUGAAAGAGUCCCAGAGAAUACAGAGCCUGAAAGAAUUUCAGUGAAGCCUCGGAAAAAGGUAAGAAAAUAGCAUAAAGCCUGUAAAUGUGAAGAACAACAGAGAGUAGAUUCAGAAAGAUGGAUAAAAGUAGCCAAGGAAGACACAGCAUACAGUGUCCUUGGAGAGG